ensembl:lncRNA
AUCUCUGUAUGGAGAUCCCUCCCUUGUGGAGUCUUUCUUGUGAGCCUAGAUCUUUGGAGAUGGACCCAGCUGCUGAGGAGUCCUGCUUUCUGCUAUUACCUACUUUCCAGAAACAGGUCAGCGUUGUAGGUCUCCACUGGGAGAACAAACUAAAGGGAGACGAGUAUCCUUCAUUUUUCACUAAGGAUCUUUACAGCUGUAAUGAAGCAAAUGGCAUUUUAAGAUAAGUAAUUGUUAAGAUAGACUUGUGAAUAGGACACAAAAGAUGUGAAAUAUUGUUCAGAGUCAACGAUAGGGUCAUUCAGAAAUAAUGUACUGUAAUUUCUUCAGGUCAAGGACAAGUGGUGAAGUUAAGCACAGAAAAAGUGCUAAAAUACAUUUUGUUUAACUAACACCUCAGUUUGAAGGAGUGAGUCCUGGAUAGUGAGGUAAAAACUUUGUUCCCAGCUUCAGCUUGUUGAGAUCACAUCAUAAAUGAGUUCAUGCUUUCCAGGGCGUUCCAAUUAAGUUAAAAUAUCAUUUGUGAAAGUAACUGAUUUGUGUAGACACACCUGUGGUUAUUUCAUCCAUGUAUCUAUGUCUAGUCCAAGGCCUUCAAUAAUACUGGUACUUUCUCAUUGAAAGAGCGUCCUACCUAAUCUGUAAUGUUGUGCUCUAGUAUUCUCACUGAACAGAAGAGUGAAAGGACACUUUUCCUCUUAGAGCAGUAAGUCUUAGUGCUUGCAAUUCUGAAGUGCUGCCAACGCCCUUGGCCACCUUGGUCUCAGUCCUGAGCUCAAUGAAAUCAAAGGAAGGUGACUCCUAUUGGCUUUGGAGCACCAUCGGUGACACCCAUUGUGAAGUUCUUGCAAAGAACCUCAUGCUGUUCCAACAGUGUUUGCUGUGGCCAGCUCCAGUAUGUAAAUUAAUUCAAAAACUCCAUAACCAGCGUGAAAUCUGUUGUAUGUUGCAAUUGUUACUCAGGGAUAAUUAUAGAUCCCUGCAAGGACAAUAAGUGUGAAAGUCUCUGCAGAUGCUGUCUGGGACAUUCCUGGGCCGGAGAGAAAGCUUGGCGCCAUUUUUAUAGUUAUGCCUGUUAAGAUUUAAUAGAUGGAAAGUUUCAUUAGUGAACUGUGUUGCAAUUAACUUGAAGGAGGUUCCAGCCUACUGUAUGCAGUCCUUCCUCAGAGAAAGUUGUUUACAUUUCCUUUUGGUAAUAAUUUAUUGGCUUUUCAGCACUUGAAUGUUAAUGAAUAGCAAAGACGAUGAUUUAACAAAAAACCAACAACAACGCAUAACAUGAUUUUCUAAUUAUUCUAAGAGAGGAUUAGGUCAGAUAUUUAACUUUUUAUUUGUCAAUGAGCGCACCAGUUACUGAAAGACAAGACUGAGUUGAUCCAAGGGCAAAGAGUAACACAGAAAUGCAAAUUUAAGGGAAAAGUUUCCUCCUCGGUAAUAUCUGUAAUAAGGAUUAAUGGGGUAAUAACUUGGGUUUUGUUUGUCUCUUGGCCAGUCCCCCCUGAGGCCAGAUCCUGCUUGUUUCAUACAGUAUUUUCAUUGCAAAAUAGAUUGGGGUUUAGAUAGUCUCAGUAUUGUGGCUGAUCUGCCUCAGAUGAGAGAGCAGGCACACAAUUCCUACUAACUUCAGAGUUCCUGCAGACUUUUCAGUGUUUUUAGUGCAGGGCAACUCCCCAUACUUCUCCAAGUGGAAUAAGUGAAGUGAGCAAGUCAUUUACUUUUUCUCAAUUUUGGAUCUUCCCACUUCAUUUAAUAAAUGUGAUCUUAUUAAUCAACAUGACAGUUAGUCAGAGUCAGAUGAAACAGCGUGAGGAAAGCAGCAGGCUUGGGUCAGUAUUAGCAGGGCAAAGGACAUUUUCCCGAGCAUUUCCCAUGCUCUGGUGAUAGAUCUAGAGCUGCUCUGAAGGGAGAGUGAAGGUGGUGAUCAUACUAUAGCGGGUUUAGAGGUGUUUGAGAUUGCCCAAGUGGGGUCAGCUGGGGCUGCGGUGGUGUGGGUGCAGCUCAAUGGGACAGCAAUGCAUUAACUCACAGCAUGGGACAGACUUCCAGAAUCCUUGUCUCACCUCUCUUCCAAAUUAUUCUUUGCAUUUGGGUGUUGCAGUACUCAAAAUAAUGUUUUCAAAUGGCAUAAAAAGAAUGUCAUGCAACCUUUAUUGGUUUGUCACUACAGCAGAGACUCCCCCAACCCUCUUUGAUUUAGAGACGUAACCUGUGGUUAAAAGCUUUAGGCAAGGCCACACAUGUGCAAAUGGGGACUGGUGAUUUGGAUAAUUAGUAGGGAAGGCAGAGCCCUGUCUCUUCGCAAGAAAGUUAGCAACGAUAUGCAAUUAAAAAUGAACUGUAAAAGGUAAAAUCAUGCACAUGUAUGCAAUGCAGUAGACCAGCUUGAGCAAAGAGACAAAAC